UACGAAGGGGGCUAGCGUUGUUCGGAAUCACUGGGCGUAAAGGGCGCGUAGGCGGCUUUAUAAGUCGGGGGUGAAAGCCUGUGGCUCAACCACAGAAUUGCCUUCGAUACUGUCGGGCUAGAGUCCGGAAGAGGCGAGUGGAAUUCCUGGUGUAGCGGUGGAAUGCGCAGAUAUCAGGAGGAACACCGAUGGCGAAGGCAGCUCGCUGGGACGGUACUGACGCUGAGGCGCGAAAGCGUGGGGAGCAAACAGG
rnacentral:rRNA from 1 species